rnacentral:lncRNA from 1 species
CUCGCACAGCUACAGUGGUCGGUCACCAUGCACGUCUCGCAUGCUCGGCUAUAGUGGCCGGCCGCUGGGUCAUCGAUGGGACCCAACGGCAACCACCCCUCCUCGGUGGCCCUACUGACAAGACACAGAAAUCAGGAAGGAAGGUGGCAACCCUAGGGGCUCGGCCUAUGUCCCUGUGCUUUACCUUCCUUGCUUACCUUUUUUACUUCCCUUUACUCCCGGCUCGAUUGUAACUCAUGUGUCCUCCUUAUGCUAUAAAAGGAAGACCAGGGGGCCUGACAAAGGGACGGCCCUCGAGUGAACCGAACAACCUCCAACUCAC